rnacentral:rRNA from 1 species
GACGAACGCUGGCGGCGUGCCUAAUACAUGCAAGUAGAACGCUGAAGGAGGAGCUUGCUCUUCUGGAUGAGUUGCGAACGGGUGAGUAACGCGUAGGUAACCUGCCUGGUAGUGGGGGAUAACUAUUGGAAACGAUAGCUAAUACCGCAUAAUAACAGUUGUUGCAUGACAACUGUUUGAAAGGUGCAAUUGCAUCACUACCAGAUGGACCUGCGUUGUAUUAGCUAGUUGGUGGGGUAACGGCUCACCAAGGGGACGAUACAUAGCCGACCUGAGAGGGUGAUCGGCCACACUGGGACUGAGACACGGCCCAGACUCCUACAGGAGGCAGCAGUAGGGAAUCUUCGGCAAUGGACGAAAGUCUGACCGAGCAACGCCGCGUGAGUGAAGAAGGUUUUCGGAUCGUAAAGCUCUGUUGUAAGAGAAGAGCGAGUGUGAGAGUGGAAAGUUCACACUGUGACGGUAUCUUACCAGAAAGAGACGGCUAACUACGUG